GAGGCUGGAAGCCCAUGACCAAGGCCAUUCAGUUCCUGUGACAGCUCUCUUCUUGGCUUGCAGAUGGCCGUCUCCUGGCUGUGCCUUCACAGGGCAGAGAAAGAAUGGGCUCUUUGGUGGCUCCCCUGUAAGCCACCAAUCCCAGGGGAUCAGGGCCCCGCCCUUACAACCUGUUUUCCUCCUCUGGAGUCGGACGGCUGUAUCUUUGGAGGUGGUGGUGGUGAUGCGGAUACUGAUACCGGGCUGUGGCAGAAAAUGGCCCAGUCACAGGAGGGUGGAGAACCUCGGUGGUGCCUUCAGAAGCUCAGGCCAGGACUCUCUAAUACACUUUGCAUCCAGAGCCCAAAAGUUAUCUUUGAAAAGAAAAUCGGACCAGUUUUCUUCUUUACCCUUUUGCCCCAGUUCGCUUUCCAAAAACAAAUUUCAUCAGGAGCUACCGGUCAAGACCAAUCUUCAGCCCUUAAUAGGGAUAGUUUCCAAUAUGGUUUAGGCAGUGGUUCUCACACUACCCCAAUGCAAGAAGCCUGGGCUUCUGUGUUCUGAUAUACACCAAAGCUUGAGAAUCAUUUAAGACUAAAAGUUCUGAAGCACAGGAAGGAAUACCAAGAAUUCAAAAAAUACAAAAAAAUUACCAAGGACAAAAUUCGCACACAAGUCUUCUUUACUUGAUCUAAUUAGUAUCUUUGUAGUUGAGGACUCUCCCACUCGGGAGGUGGUCGGUAUCCCAUGUUUGAGACAGGGCGCAAGUGGGAUUAAUAUAUUUUAAUGAGAUUGGCGCAAAAUUAGCAAAUGCUUUCUGUUGAUAAGCGGAAUCUCUAUCUUUUGAGCUGAUUCCCAAAAUGGGUAGAAAGUCCUACCCAUUUCUCCCACCUUGUCUGUUAUUUUUAAUUCUAGGAUUUUUGAUUCUCUUCUAUCCGUGGUUCUCCACCCCUGCGGCACAUGAAUGCCACCUGGGAAUUUUUAAAACUACCAAUGCCUAGGUCGCACCUUCAAAAUGGUCCAGGCAGAGGCGCGUUGUAAAACCUGCCCAAGUGAUUCUGUGUCCACCGACUUUCCUCAGGCAGGGUUCAAAACCGCCGUUACACAAUUAAACCGAGAAGGGGGAGUAGUGCCCCUGAAUCCCGGAAUUUCAUCCGGCCCUGACAUUGUGGGCGGCUGCCUGCAGUCGAGCAGGAAAAACACCGUCCGGGAGACUCGCGACUCCCAUUCCACCAGGGGGCGCGCGUGCCCCGCCGAUUACCCGCGGGUCGCGUCCUUCCUACGCAGGUCGCGUCCUUCCUUCCCGGGUCCCAGGUCCCCCCGGUGGGAGAGCGCGGACGCGUCAGCGGACCCCCAGCCCCGUAGGGCCGCCUCUGCUCCGCCUCCGCAGGGCCCUGGACUUCUUUGCGGCCCCCGCUGUAUGUGAAGUGUGCGGCUGAAGCCUGUCUGAUCGCGCGUAUUAGUCGUCGUUACAGAAACCAGUCAUUUUAAAAAUCAGAUUCGUUGUACAACGGGAAUAGUCUUAGGAGACGCACAUCGGGGAUGUAUGUAGCUGAAAUGCACCUUUUUGAGGGUGAGGAUUAAAAAAAAAAAGGGACGCAAAACACGAA